AAUCCCGACACGGGGAGGUAGUGACAAUAAAUAACAAUAUAGGGCCCUUUCGGGUCUUAUAAUUGGAAUGAGUACAAUUUAAAUCCCUUAACGAGGAACAAUUGGAGGGCAAGUCUGGUGCCAGCAGCCGCGGUAAUUCCAGCUCCAAUAGCGUAUAUUAAAGUUGUUGCAGUUAAAAAGCUCGUAGUUGAACUUCAGGCCUGGCUGGGCGGUCUGCUUAACGGCAUGUACUGUCUGGCUGGGUCUUACCUCUUGGUGAGCCGGUGUGCCCUUCAUUGGUGUGCAUUGGGGAACCAGGACUUUUACCUUGAGAAAAUUAGAGUGUUCAAAGCAGGCCUAUGCCCGAAUACAUUAGCAUGGAAUAAUAAAAUAGGACGUGCGGUUCUAUUUUGUUGGUUUCUAGAGUCGCCGUAAUGAUUAAUAGGGAUAGUUGGGGGCAUUGGUAUUGAGUCGCUAGAGGUGAAAUUCUUGGAUUGACUC
rnacentral:rRNA from 1 species